rnacentral:rRNA from 1 species
UACUAAUCGCUCGAUUGGCUUGAUCGUUCUCAUCCUCGAUGUCCAUGGCACAGCCAGGACACGACAAUCCGGGCAAAACUCCCGAUCCGGGCAAGGCCCCGAUCCGGAAAGCCCAAAGACCAGCUUCAUUCCUCAUGUCCUUCGCCGGCCUGGUGGCUAUUGCGAGGAGCCUGAACCCGAUCCCAUCCCGAACUCGGCCGUUAAACUUCUCUGCGCCAAUGGUACUUCGUCUCAAGACGCGGGAGAGUAGGUCGCUGCCAGGC